rfam:Candidatus Peribacteria bacterium RIFCSPHIGHO2_01_FTLL_55_13 rifcsphigho2_01_scaffold_874, whole genome shotgun sequence.
CGGGACGUAGCUCAGUUGGCUAGAGCGCACGGUUCGGGACCGUGAGGCCGGAGGUUCAAGUCCUCUCGUCCCGA